rnacentral:rRNA from 1 species
AAAUUGAAGAGUUUGAUCAUGGCUCAGAUUGAACGCUGGCGGCAGGCCUAACACAUGCAAGUCGAACGGUAACAGGAAGAAGCUUGCUUCUUUGCUGACGAGUGGCGGACGGGUGAGUAAUGUCUGGGAAACUGCCUGAUGGAGGGGGAUAACUACUGGAAACGGUAGCUAAUACCGCAUAACGUCGCAAGACCAAAGAGGGGAACCUUCGGGCCUCUUGCCAUCGGAUGUGCCCAGAUGGGAUUAGCUAGUAGGUGGGGUAACGGCUCACCUAGGCGACGAUCCCUAGCUGGUCUGAGAGGAUGACCAGCCACACUGGAACUGAGACACGGUCCAGACUCCUACGGGAGGCAGCAGUGGGGAAUAUUGCACAAUGGGCGCAAGCCUGAUGCAGCCAUGCCGCGUGUAUGAAGAAGGCCUUCGGGUUGUAAAGUACUUUCAGCGGGGAGGAAG